UUGAAAGGGAAACGAUUGAAGUCAGUCGUACCUAUGGGUAAUCAGCCUUUUGGGUGUGAUUUUGUGGAGCGUGGGGAGUUAAACGCCUUCAUGCCUGCAUAUUCGUGCACUUUGGGUGUACUUGCCCGUGUGUAAGUUAACAUCAAUUUUGGUGGUCAUAAAAUGGCUGGAGGAAUGUAGCUUCGAUCUUGUAUUGAAGUGUUAUAGCCUUCGGUAGAUGUGACGAUCGGGAUUGAGGAUUGCAACGGAUACCCUUCGGGGCUACCUGUCUGAUCUCUGAUUGUUGCUCUGGUGCCGAAAGCUUGCUUACGGUUAUCAAAGUCGAUGGUCAAUA
rnacentral:rRNA from 1 species